CCUACGGGAGGCAGCAGUGAGGAAUAUUGGUCAAUGGGCGCGAGCCUGAACCAGCCAAGUAGCGUGAAGGAUGAAUGCCCUACGGGUUUUAAACUUCUUUUAUAAAGGAAUAAAGUGAGGCACGUGUGCCUUUUUGUAUGUACUUUAUGCAUAAGGAUCGGCUAACUUCGUGCCAGCAGCCGAGGUAAUACGGAGGAUCCGAGCGUUAUCCGGAUUGAUUGGGUGUAAAGGGAGCGUAGAUGGGUUGUUAAGUCAGUUGUGAAAGUUUGGGGCUCAACCGUAAAAUUGCAAUUGAUACUGGCAGUCUUGAGUACAGUUGAGGUAGGCAGAAUUCGUGGUGUAGCGGUGAAAUGCUCAGAUAUCACGAAGAACUCCGAUUGCGAAGGCAGCUUACUAAACUGCCACUGACAUUGAUGCGCGAAAGCGUGGGGAGCAAACAGGAUUAGAUACCCGAGUAGUC
rnacentral:rRNA from 1 species